rnacentral:rRNA from 1 species
UACGGAUGAUCCGAGCGUUAUCCGGAUUUAUUGGGUUUAAAGGGUGCGCAGGCGGGAGAUUAAGUCGGCGGUGAAAUUUUGCAGCUCAACUGUAAAAGUGCCUUCGAAACUGGUUUCCUUGAGUGUGGAUGAAGUAGGCGGAAUUUGUGGUGUAGCGGUGAAAUGCAUAGAUAUCACGAGGAACUCCGAUUGCGCAGGCAGCUUACUAAACCAUAACUGACGCUCAGGCACGAAGGCGUGGGGAUCAAACAGGAUUAGAUACCCUGGUA